CAGUAGCCGCGGGAAUACGUAGGGUGCGAGCGUUGUCCGGAAUUACUGGGCGUAAAGGGCUCGUAGGUGGUUUGUCGCGUCGUCUGUGAAAUUCUGGGGCUUGACCCCGGGCGUGCAGGCGAUACGGGCAUAACUUGAGUGCUGUAGGGGUAACUGGAAUUCCUGGUGUAGCGGUGAAAUGCGCAGAUAUCAGGAGGAACACCGAUGGCGAAGGCAGGUUACUGGGCAGUUACUGACGCUGAGGAGCGAAAGCAUGGGUAGCGAACAGGAUUAGAUACCCCUGUAGUCCCUGUCUCUUAUU
rnacentral:rRNA from 1 species